rnacentral:rRNA from 1 species
CCUACCGGAGGCAGCAGUAGGGAAUCUUCCACAAUGGGCGAAAGCCUGAUGGAGCAACGCCGCGUGGGUGAAGAAGGUCUUCGGAUCGUAAAACCCUGUUGUUAGAGAAGAAAGUGCGUGAGAGUAACUGUUCACGUUUCGACGGUAUCUAACCAGAAAGCCACGGCUAACUACGUGCCAGCAGCCGCGGUAAUACGUAGGUGGCAAGCGUUAUCCGGAUUUAUUGGGCGUAAAGGGAACGCAGGCGGUCUUUUAAGUCUGAUGUGAAAGCCUUCGGCUUAACCGGAGUAGUGCAUUGGAAACUGGGAGACUUGAGUGCAGAAGAGGAGAGUGGAACUCCAUGUGUAGCGGUGAAAUGCGUAGAUAUAUGGAAGAACACCAGUGGCGAAGGCGGCUCUCUAGUCUGUAACUGACGCUGAGGUUCGAAAGCGUGGGUAGCAAACAGGAUUAGAUACCCGAGUAGUC